UGGGAGGACUGUUGUUGCUGUACGACUAGUUACCGACAUUGUGUACAAGUCUGCAAAUGACUCCCUAAUUAAGUUAGUAUUACUUGUCCUCUAAAUCGGUAACUUUUCAGAGAGCUCACUGAAAUGAAGACACUAAUUGUAGGAAUUGGUGGGGUGACCAAUGGAGGAAAGACUACUCUUGCCAAUAGUCUACAGGAACAGAUACCCAACAGCUGCAUCAUUGCACAGGAUUCAUAUUUUAAGGAUGACUGUGAUGUGCCAGUGGACAGUAGUGGCUUCAAGCAAUAUGACAUUCUCGAUGCUCUGCACAUGCAAACAAUGAUACGGGACGUUGACUUGUGGCAAAGAGAUCCUGAGUCGUUCCUGAGGCAGCAAGGCCUGAAGCCCCAGCUUAUAGCACCAUCAAUCGAUAAGGAGGUCUUUGUGCUCAUUGUGGAAGGCUUCCUCAUUUUCAACCACAGACCUCUGAAUGAGCUGUUUGACAAAAAAUACUUCAUGGAAAUACCUUAUGAUGCCUGCAAGAGGAGGCGAAGUUCAAGGGCGUACAUGCCUCCUGAUCCUCCUGGCUACUUCAGCGCAUAUGUGUGGCCAAUGUACCUAAAAAACCGGGAAGAGAUGGAGAGCAUCGAGUCAGAAUUUGGUAAAGAUGCGCUUGUGAUUAUUUCUGGAUGGUUUAAAGACAAAAGAAGAGCUGCUGGCAGCCGUGUAUGAAGACAUUUGUCAGGAAAUAGAAAGACUCAGAGAAAAUCAUCCAAUCAGAAAAGUUAAAUGUUAAAGAAAAACUGAAAUGAUGAGUGUAACUUGAUUGCUAUUUGAAGAUGAAGAUGCUCUUGUGGAUAUUAUUACCACUCUCAUAUAGACUAACGUGUGACUGAAAGGACAAAAUUAAGCUGUGUGAAUUAUCCUGGAAGAAAUGAUGCUGUGAAGUUAUCCACCUGUCAUAUUUCUGCACCCUCUCCGGGGUGCCGACAGUUUUGUGACUUUGUGAGCUUGGUACAGAGUACAGGACUUGCAGUUGUCUAAUCCUAUAAUCAUAUCAGUAUAUGUAACCAUAAAUUAGGUUUUACUCAAUUUUCUUAAUCGAUCUCUGCGUCCUGUGGCUAUGUUUUUAAAGUUUAUUUUUCUGAUAUGCUCUGUGAAACGAAUUGCUAAGUGUGCAUUCAUUAAAGCAACUUCAUGCCCAAAACAGAAACACUAAA